UACGUAGGGUGCGAGCGUUGUCCGGAAUUAUUGGGCGUAAAGAGCUUGUAGGCGGUUUGUCGCGUCUGCUGUGAAAUCUCAAGGCUCAACCUUGAGCUUGCAGUGGGUACGGGCAGACUAGAGUGUGGUAGGGGAGACUGGAAUUCCUGGUGUAGCGGUGAAAUGCGCAGAUAUCAGGAAGAACACCAAUGGCGAAGGCAGCUCUCUGGGACAUUACUGACGCUGAGACGCGAAAGCGUGGGGAGCGAACAGG
rnacentral:rRNA from 1 species